AGAAGCCAACUAUGGCGUUAUUUAUAACAAAAUCACAAGUUUCACUAUAUAAAGUCGUAGCUUUUGGCGGAUGGAUAUAGAACCUCACACCUAUAACCCUACCUUGUGGCAAUAUUGCUCUUUGUCUUGAUUACCUCCGGGAAUUUACCUAUAGAAUAGGCUGUUUUAUGCCCCUGGCAUGUACAGCUCAAGUGAAGAUACAGUAUAUGAUUGCAGCUGAAUUUCCUUGCAAUUAACAGAUUAAGGAAAUAAUGAGGAGACUGAUAUGUAUAGCUCCUGUAGUUAGUUUGUUGUAAAACAUGAUCGCCAGUGGACACCUUCUAAUCUAAAUUGGGGAAGUCCAGGACUUGGGAGACUGAUUGCACCCUUAUAGCCACUGCUUCCACGGACUGUGAUCCAAUCAUCAUCUGGCAUGCAGCAUUGAUAUGUUCUGUUGGCUGUAAACACAUACAUUUAGCAUAGUUCAGAGAAGCACAACCAUUAACAAACAAUCAGAUUAUAGCUGCCCGAGGGAAAGUUUGCUAUUUCGGUGGUUUUGUAUUAGCAAAGUUAAAGCACCAGCUCCAAGUGAAGGCGACCAAUUUGCUGCGAAAAUAUCAUAGGAAUGACAAAAUUAAACAUGAUAGGAAAUAGCCAGAUGGAAAUAGCUUACGUACAAAUUAUCAAUGAAAUGUGUCUCUCUGAAUAUGGAAUAACUGGUGAAACUAAGGAUUCAGCAUGCAUUCAACUGACAAUGGAGAAACAAUUCGUUAAUGGGAAACUGGACCAUAUUAUUGAUGAAUCAAAUAAUUUUGUUCUCCACAUUAACUUAAUAGGAAAUAAUAGUAUUGACAAGCAACACAUCAUUCUUUUGAUCAAUUCACAACUAGGAGAUGUACAGAGAAACACAAAUGUCAAUUAUGAUCACUCAAAAAUGUCAUCAAAAAGUGACAUUAGAACAUUUGGGACGCAUACCCAUGACCAUAAUAACCAUACUUUUGUCAAAACCUUGUUGUUUGUGAGGAAAUUGUAACAGAAUGAAGUCAGAUAUACAGUAAAACAUGUCUAAACCAAACACCAUUGGGAACAGCUAAAACCUUUCAUAUUAGGAG
rnacentral:misc_RNA from 1 species